UCCAUCUUCCCCAUUCUAUUCAUAGGAAUUUUGGCCGCUUCCCUAGUAGAAGGGACAGCCAAAAAAGAGCGAAAUUUCAAAUGGACUUUUAUAGGAUCUUGGUAAUAUGCAUCCAUGUAUAUACCAGGCUAGUUUUUGCGCCAUUGAAAAAGGAUUUAAAACUUUUACGCUUAAUCAGCCUUUGCAUUCCAAUAAUUCGACCUUUUUCUUUCCUCAUUUACCCACCACCCAAAUCUUUCUCCCCGCUCAACUCUAUUCUUCCAUCUAUCUUACCCAUUAUUCCUUUUGCUAUCUCAUCUAGCCUGCUCUUUUCAUAUACUUUUCACGUUUUCUACCGUUUCCUUUUCCAGCCGCUAUUAUCGGUCCCAUAUGCCAAUUCCAAACAAACCAAUUGUUUACUCGUAGCGAGCUUUGUUUAUUUACCCUAUCGGAGCCCGUUACCGGUUGUCAUAGAAAUAAUGGUACAGCGUUACUUGUAGAUUCAGCUCUUCCCAAUCAGUGGUGUAGCAAAGAGGAUGAUCAAUGGUUACAACAAAUUUCCCUUUGUUUACAUUGUACAUAACCGAUUGUUUACAUUUUGGUUUCUAGGUAGUAAGUCAAAGAAAAAUGUUGCACCUCGAAGCUUUUUAGAAAAAAAAAGCGUAAAAGAACUAUUAAAGAAUUUUCCAAUGACACAUUGAUUCCAUUAUAUUCUAUCCCAUUCUUCUUAUCUACUUUCUCUUCUGCCACCUUCUUGCUUCUUCCAUCCCACACCAUAUCCAGUAUUUUACAUACGAUUCUAGCAAUAUGGCAAGAAACCGUCACUAAAAAUUUCACUAUAGUGAAAACCGAAAAAUUAC